GAAACGCUGGCGGUAUGCCUACUUUGCACGUCGUACCAUGGUAUCCGUAUUGCUGGGUGGAUUAGUGGCAAACGGGUGAGUAACUCCUGAGUAACCUGCCCUUAGCUCUGGAAUAACCCUGGGAAACUGGGUCUAAUACCGGAUAGGAGCGUCUACCGCAUGGUGGGUGUUGAAAAGAUUUAUCGGUUUUGGAUGGUUUCGCGGCCUAUUAGCUUGUUGGUGAGGUAAUGGCUCACCAAGGCGACGACGGGUAGCCGGCCUGAGAGGGUGACCGGCCACACUGGGAACUGAUACACGGCCCAAACUCCUACGGGAGGCAGCAGUGGGGAAUAUUGCAGAAUGGUUCCAUGCCUGAUGCAUGCCCGCCGCAUGAGGGAUGACUGCCUUCUGGUUGUAAACUUCUUUCAGUACUAAAAAAGCCAAUAUGACGGUACCUGCAAAAAAAGCACCGGUUAACUACGUGCCAGCAUACGCGGUAAUACGUAGGGUGCGAGCGUUAUCCGGAAUUAUUGGUAGUAAAAAUCUCUUAGGCGGUUUGUCGCGUC
rnacentral:rRNA from 1 species